rnacentral:rRNA from 1 species
GUGAUAAGGGGACACCGAGUGCCAGCAUCAUAUGCUGGCUGCCCGGGUGUGUAAAAUACACCUGUCAGCAAGGGCCGGGCAAGACCGGUGCCAGCCGCCGCGGUAACACCGGCGGCCCGAGUGGUGAUCGUGAUUAUUGGGUCUAAAGGGUCCGUAGCCGGUUUGGUCAGUCCUCCGGGAAAUCUGACGGCUUAACCGUUAGGCUUUCGGGGGAUACUGCCAGACUUGGAACCGGGAGAGGUAAGAGGUACUACAGGGGUAGGAGUGAAAUCUUGUAAUCCCUGUGGGACCACCUGUGGCGAAGGCGUCUUACCAGAACGGGUUCGACGGUGAGGGACGAAAGCUGGGGGCCCGAACCGGAUUAGAUACCCGGGUAGUCCCAGC